UUGCUCGCUUCGGCAGCACAAAUACUAAAAUUAGAACAAUACAGAGAAGAUUAGCAUAACCCCAGCACAAGGGUGACAGACAAAUUUAUGAAGUGUUUCAUAUUUUU